GUCCAGGGAUGGGAAUCGAACCCACAGUGUUCCGCUUACCGAGCAGUUGCCAUGUCCACUAGGCUACCCUGGA
rnacentral:tRNA from 1 species